CUAUUUUUUUAUUUUCAUAUUGAAAUUUUGAUUUUUUUUUUAUUAUAUAAUUACUCACUUACUUAUUUACUGACACUUUAAAUAUUGACGGUUAUCCAAUAUUAUUGAUCCUUUUAUUUUACUUACAUUUAUGUUUUAUUAUAUUAUUUUAUAUGUUACAUUUUGUUAUAUUUGAUAAACUUAACGGCAAUGAUAAGCUUUACGAAGUAAUUGAGACUUCGAGACACUAGGCCAUAUACUAUUGAGUAACGUCCCUAACAACACACAACAUUCCAGGAAUGUACUACCAAAGUUCUAUCAAUAUUUGAAUGUCCUGGACAUUUAGGGAACAUUCGGUGAACAUCUGUUUAAAUUAUUCCUGGAAUGUUACCAUAAGACAUUCUGUGAACAUACUACCAAUGUUCCUAUAUUUUAAGUUGCGAAAUAAUACAUACGUGUAAGAGAUACAACAUUACUUAUAACAUACCAGACAAACUAAGUGACAUUUUAGGCCUACAGUGCAAUAAUAUGUCAAAUUUAAAGAGUUUCCCAAGAUUAUAAACAUACAAAUGUAAUAAAAAUUAUUGUUCGCGAAUAUUCAAUUUGGAAUGCGAUUUUGUUAAUAAAAAAAAUACUUAUAACUUAUGCAAAACCCAAGAGAGGCAUUUAUAUUUAUUUCUUUUGCGUUCAUUUUCAAAUUCGCCGUGCAUAUAUUUUUGUGCAUGGCGCUUGAGAGGGCAUCACGUGACUAAAAACGACCAACCAACGACCUCGCUUCGGCCAUCUUGGCAUCUUCAUCUUGGCGACCUUGCCUUGCCGUGGAUUGUUUUUAGUUGUUUGUAUUAUUUGUGCUUUUUAAGAAUAUUUUUUUAAUUCGGAUACUUUUAUAAUAGCUUUAAUAGUAUUAUUAACAUAGUGCAUAAAAUGGUGUCCUGUUUUUAACGCAGUUGGAGUAGCAGAAACAAAUGUAGAUAAAAAAAUCUGCAGGAAUAACGUUUCAAUUAUGACAGAAGCUCAAAACAAAUGACUGUGAAUGAAAAGCCCUAUUAAAAGCUUUCCAGAAGAUCCUGCGAAGAAGACAUGAAGUAUAGAUCAGAUUUGUUAAUAGAGGAGUAUGUUCAAAACACUUUUUAGAAAAAGAUAUUGACAGAACUUCACUUUCAUCUGUUCGUUUGAGAGACUGUGCUGUUCCAAUAGCUUAUGUCACACAGAAUCAGCUGAGAGAAGUGGUCUACAAAAAACCAGAAAGGAAACGAAAUAUGUGGCUACGAAAAGCAAAAGAAAGGUUUACAAAGCAAAUGUGACACAUUUUUUUAUAAUAUUUAGGAAUGUCAGCAAAUUACAUUAAAAAAUGUAUGUAAAGAUUUUUUGCAAUAAAAAUGUUUAUAUUUA